CAGCAGUGAGGAAUAUUGGUCAAUGGCCGCAAGGCUGAACCAGCCAAGUAGCGUGAAGGAUGACCGCCCUACGGGUCGUAAACUUCUUUUAUAAAGGAAUAAAGUCACCUACGUGUAGGUGUUUGUAUGUACUUUAUGAAUAAGCAUCGGCUAACUCCGUGCCAGCAGCCGCGGUAAUACGGAGGAUGCGAGCGUUAUCCGGAUUUAUUGGGUUUAAAGGGAGCGCAGACGGGCGAUUAAGUCAGCUGUGAAAUGCCGCGGCUCAACCGUGGAAUUGCAGUUGAUACUGGUGGUCUUGAGUGCGGUUGAGGCAGGCGGAAUUCGUGGUGUAGCGGUGAAAUGCUUAGAUAUCACGAAGAACCCCGAUUGCGAAGGCAGCCUGCCAAGCCGUUACUGACGUUCAUGCUCGAAGGUGCGGGUAUCAAACAGGAUUAGA
rnacentral:rRNA from 1 species